ACGCCCCAAGAGGUUGUGCUGCUGGGGUGGUUGGAAGCGGUUGGUGGGCGUGCGUAUGGCGGCCAGGCCUGGGACGCCACGAGGCUCACUGGCGCCGUGGGGUCACUCUUCCCGAAGCCACAAGUCGCCAAGGCUGGAAGGGAAGGUCAGGGCCUACCAGGAGACAACCCUAGGGCUCGAUGGGCAAACCCACCCUCCCGAGGGGACCGCCGCUGAGGCCAGGCGAGGAGGAAGAAAAUGUCUAGGGCCUGUUGGUAGAGGGCCAAGGCCCUGAUGCACAGGAGGGGCCCAGACGCCUAAGGACCUGAGGCCCCUGGGAUGCUGCGCCCUGCCGAGCUAGAAGGCAUUGGCCACCAGAGUCUAAAAACCCCAAAUCACUUAUGUGAGGGGGUUCAAAGCAGAAACCAUCACAGAUGAGCAGUGGGACCUGGGACACCUCAGAAGUACAGCCAGAUGUUUGAGGAGCUGGCUGAAAGGCAGCUGGUGCACCUGGCCACAGGGACCUGAGGAGCCCGGUGUGCUUUUGUUCAGAACGAGGCAGGGGUUCGCCGUGGUGGCAACACUCAAGUUAGGCCAUUGUUCAUAGACUCUUCUCCUGGGGCCCCGCACAGAACAGCGUCGUGAGCACGCACCCGCUGCUCAAAUCAAGGUGGCGACAGAACCUUCAGGGAGAAGCCUUCAGAAGAUGAACUGCUGAGGCCGGCUGUCAGCGCGUGAGGCCGAGACAGAGCCGUGAUGAAGUUCCUCUCCGUGGUGCUCAGAGCCUGCCGCCAAGGCCCCUGCAAACCCACGUUCAAAGGCCGUUUCUUCAAAGUCAACAGCGCUGCCUUUGAACUGGGAUGGGGAGCGGGCGGUCGGAAGGCAGGCUUCCAUGCGCAUGUUUGAGUGGAGUCCAUGAGGUUCGUGGUGGCAUUAGCCCUUGGGAGGCAGAGAGGGGCCACCGGUGUCCUGUGCCGUCUCUGUCCACCUGGGGCCACCAGAGGUCCCCGUGCGGGGCCGGGCCGGGAGGGGUGAUGAAGAUGAAGGGCUCUUCCGGAGGGCACCCCCCAAUCCUGUUGUGCUGGAUUCAGAGGGUUGGGUGGAGGCUUUCCUGAAGGGCUCUGAGGAGCGCUGCGCCCACUGGCUGGGCUGUACUGUCAGGAGGCGGGACAUGGGGAGCCUGCCCCCCCACCAGCGAGUCCCCCACGCGGUGGCCUGUGCUACUGUUGUUCUGCCCCAAGCCUCCUGUGGCUACCUGCAGUACAGCCCACCCUCUGAGCUUGGCCUUGACCACCAGCAUUGCCCCCAAAUGUCCCCAAAUGUUCCACACGCUGUUCAGCCCACAGUUGCCUGAAGACCUGCACCUGGGCCUGCUCUUCCUCUCCUGGGGGCCAGAGGGGUCUUUCUCACCCUGGCUUCCCACCUGCAGGGAGCCCCCUGCCACCCAGCUCUCACAGCCCCCAUCAUCCCUGUAGUUUUGCUGGUAAUGUUUGCUGCCCCUAUUCUAGUCCGAGAGCUUGUGGGAUGGGGGCCAGAGCUGUCCUGGGGAUUACUAUGUUCACCAGCCAGGCCUUCUCCCAAGGUGUGCAGUGGGUGCCUAAUAAAUACCUGAGCUUGAGUAGAGUAGACGUCUUUCUCUUUGUUCGUUCUCCAUAGAGCCCUCCCUGCUCGCCUCGCACCCAUGGCUCCCUCGCCUUUUCUCUGGUUCCCUGGAGCUCGUGGCUGCUGCUCUAGGAGCUCCGCAGGGAGCAUGAUGCCCGGGUACCCCCCCCCCGUCCUCUCCCACGGUCACAGGUGGCUCUCUUCCUUCGUGGCACUUACCAUAGCGUAGAACUUACUUUCCUAAUGCCUGGCUCCCCCCGCAGACUGAACCCCUGAGGGCAGGGCCUGUCUUUGUCACACACUUGGAACUAAGCAGGCAGCUGGAUGGACAGCGCAGAAAAAUUCAGACCCUUGGGACAUGAAAAAGGCAACUGAAGGAGUGUCCCAAGUGCCGGGCGGCUUCCUGACAGUGCUCGGGCCGCUCUGGCCGCGGGCACUAUGAGAGGCCGAGAGAGGAACGAAGGACAGGGCCUCUGCUCCCAGAGUGCAGCUGCAGGGGAGGCUCAGCAUCAGCAGCUCUGGAGCCCGCGUCUCGGGGUGGGGGUGGGUAAUGGGCCUAAUGGUCCGGUUCUGGGGCCAGGCACCCCCACCCACUCCCCACCGCCAGCACAGCUGUAAUGCCAACCGCCACCUGCUUCUCUCGCCUGUAGCUUUUCCUCCUGUCCCCAGCGAAGACCACAUGCCCGUCCUUGCCAAGGCCAGCCUUCCUUCCUCGUGGCUUCUGCCCACUGUGACCUCCUCCUCCCUGCCGCCCGUUCAGCCGUGGGCACGCCGGCCCCGCCGAGCUGCACAGGAGAAGCAGGAGUCCCUUCGAGGCGUUCCCUCCGUGGGGAGUGGAAGGCUGUACAGGAGAACUAGGAAUUAGGUAGCAUGUUAGUGUUCUGUGUACCUGCACUCGGGCAGAACAGGAGGACAGGCUGCAGGUUUAAUCUGGAGACCCCGCGCUCCCCACCCUGUGUCCAGGCCCUGGGCUUCCCCACCUUCCGCAUCACUGAUACUUGAGGCUGGCCCACUGUCCAUGUGCGGACCGUCCUGGGGACGGUGGGUGCCUGGCCACACCCUGGGCCUCUGCCCCCACCAGAUGCCAGUGGCUGCCCCUCUGCCCAUCUCCAGACAUCACCUGGUGUCCUGGGAGGGAUCCCACACCCCACUGGGAGACUACAGUUAAGAGACUUACCCAAGUUUUACCUUGACCUGAUGGGAAGAAAUAAAUCAGGACAAAAAAAGAUUUCACAUACCAUCUGCUCUGGACUCGAUCCUCCUGCCCCAGGGUAGCUGAGAUGUGGAGUCUGUGCCCUUCCGCAGGUCCUGGUGUUGGAGGGCCUUUGAUCCGACAUUGCAGAAAUAGCUCUAGAUCAGUGUGCAUCGUGGGCACAGUACACAGACGGAUUUCCCAGCUCUGCUCGGGGCCCUGGGAAGCCCUGGAAGCAGGGUCACCCCAGCAGCCGCAGCCGUGCCCCACCUCGGACUUGGUCUCCGAUGCCAGUAUCUGGUGGAAGGAAUCAGCCUCCUUGUUACAAGAGCUUCUUCCUGGGCUGAGGCGAGGACUGUGAUGAGCCUGGAGCCCGGCAUCAUGGCAGAAAGUAAGGAUGUGCUCAAAAACCAAAACGAGGGCCCGGCAAGGGACACAGGAGCCACCCGGAGUGCUCCCAGGGACCCAGAGUGGAACCAUUUGACUCACAGGCUAGCCCGGGAUUAGGAUCCAGUCUACACUGUUGUAGAUAACUGAAUAAAUAGAGGAAUGCAUGUGAGAGACAAAUCUCUUGUAUGGAGAAUUGCAAAGAAUUCAUAUAAAAGCCCCUUUAGAAGCGGGGACACAACUACCCACUGUGGGCCGAGGUUCACAUCUCCCAUUGACUGUUGGUCGGGAACACGGACCCAGGUAGGGCAUGAUGAGUAGCCUCCACGUCCAAGAGUCCCUCCUGAACCCAUCGUCCCAAUCCAAGUAUGAACCCAACCCUGGGGACGUCCUACAAAAUAUCCACCAGCACUCCUCAGGAUGGUCAAGGUCAUUAGACACAAGGGAAAUCCGAGAAACUCAAAGCCAAGAGGAGACCUAUCAGUAAAAUGUAAUGUGUCCAGGAAUGGAUCCUGCAACAGAAAAAAAAGGGCUUUUGGUGAAACCUGAGUAACACCUGGAGUUGAGUUAAUAAUGUAUCAAUAUUGGCUCAGUAAUCGUGGCAAAUUAGCCCAGCAAUGCAACAAUAGUAGGAACUGGGUGCUGGGCGCACAGAAACUCUGGACUCUCUUGGUAACUUUUCUGUAGAUCUAAAACGAUUUUAAAAUGAAAAGUUUUUUUAAAAUAUAGGCACGUGUGGCCCAGUCUCAUGAGAAAUAGAAACUGAGACACCAGGCCUUCCUGGAUGCAGGUCAGCACACAGAGAGAGAACUAAGGUAAAAUCGCACCCACGUGG